AGAGUCAGGUGAGUCAGGUGACCAGAAGGGGAGCCAGGGCUCAGCGGGAGCAAAGGCCGGAGGCGGCCCAGCCCCGGUCAGGGGGGCGGGGGCUGCAGCCUCAGCGCCUGCUGGUUGCACAGCUGGAGGGCCCUGGCCGCCCCUCCCCAAACAGCGGCUCCUCCUCCACAGCUUGUCUUGGGGGGCGAGGUCCCAGGGAUGGACGGAGCCUGGCUUCUCCCGCUCAGCACAGGCGCUGGUCCCUCCUCUGCGCCCACCUCCCGUCCUCCCCGUCCAAGGUCCAAGGCAUUCGGACCCUGAAGAGCGAGAUGUUGACUCAUCCUUGCAUCUAUGGAAUAAAUCCCACAUGACCGUGACGUAAUUAGUUCCCACAAGACGACAGCCGCUCCCGUGGCCUCCCCCACGUCCACCAGCACAGGCACCGACAGCCCUGAAGGUUUUCCCAGACCAACAGCCAAGCAGUCACACCUCAGUCCUCCUGCUCUUCUCAGUCCCGAGCGGGGCUGAGACGCUCUGUGCAGUACUGGCGACUGCUUUCCUCUAGGGCAGCGGUUCUCAACCUUCUGGCCCUUAAAUACAGCUCCUCAUGUUGUG